rnacentral:rRNA from 1 species
UACGGAGGGUGCAAGCGUUAAUCGGAAUUACUGGGCGUAAAGCGCGCGUAGGCGGUUAGGUAAGUCGAUUGUGAAAUCCCCGGGCUCAACCUGGGAAUUGCAGUCGAGACUGUCUGACUAGAGUGUAGGAGAGGGUGGUGGAAUUCCCGGUGUAGCGGUGAAAUGCGUAGAUAUCGGGAGGAACAUCAGUGGCGGAGGCGACCACCUGGCCUAACACUGACGCUGAGGUGCGAAAGCGUGGGUAGCAAACAGG